rnacentral:rRNA from 1 species
UACGGAGGGUGCGAGCGUUGUUCGGAAUCAUUGGGCGUAAAGCGCGUGUAGGCGGCUUGGUAAGUCGGGUGUGAAAUCCCGGGGCCCAACCCCGGAACUGCAUUCGAAACUGCCUCGCUAGAGUCCCGGAGAGGAAGGCGGAAUUCCCGGUGUAGAGGUGAAAUUCGUAGAUAUCGGGAGGAACACAAGCGGCGAAGGCGGCCUUCUGGACGGUGACUGACGCUGAGACGCGAAAGCGUGGGGAGCAAACAGG